GACGAACGCUGGCGGCGUGCUUAACACAUGCAAGUCGAACGGAAAGGCCCUGCUUUUGUGGGGUGCUCGAGUGGCGAACGGGUGAGUAACACGUGAGUAACCUGCCCUUGACUUUGGGAUAACUUCAGGAAACUGGGGCUAAUACCGGAUAUGAGCUCCUGCUGCAUGGUGGGGGUUGGAAAGUUUCUGCGGUUGGGGAUGGACUCGCGGCUUAUCAGCUUGUUGGUGGGGUAGUGGCUUACCAAGGCUCUGACGGGUAGCCGGCCUGAGAGGGUGACCGGCCACAUUGGGACUGAGAUACGGCCCAGACUCCUACGGGAGGCAGCAGUGGGGAAUAUUGCACAAUGGGCGGAAGCCUGAUGCAGCGACGCCGCGUGCGGGAUGACGGCCUUCGGGUUGUAAACCGCUUUCACCAGUGACGAAGCGUAAGUGACGGUAAUGGGUGAAGAAGCACCGGCUAACUACGUG
rnacentral:rRNA from 1 species